rnacentral:lncRNA from 1 species
CCUCAGAGUUUAGGGGUCCUGUCCCAGCGGGGGCUCACCUUGUUCCCCACCAAACACUAGCAUUCAGGAGGCUGAGGCAGGAAGAUCACUGUGAGUUCAAGACCAGCCUGGGCUACAUAGUGAGUUUAAGGCCAGUCUGAACUACAUAACAAGACUCUCUCAAAAAACAAAAAACAACUCCAGGAAACAGUGUCAGCCAUCGUAGGGGGGCAUACCCCUUUCCCCACCCCUAAGGCUCUUUCCUGUGCCCCCAAGCCCAGUAGCCUUACCUUCAGGGACUCCUCCUCCUCGAAGUACACUGGGUUCAGCUUCGCCAGCUGCACCAGGAAUUCAGAGGCCCCCAGGGGCCGCCUGGACAGCUGCAGAAUCUGCCGCUCAUUCAGCACCAUCUCGGUGGCUUGGACGAUGUGACCCGAUGUGUAGCCAUUGGACACCCUGGCCAGGGCACUGAGGUCCAAGCUCAGGGUCACCUGUGCCCGGGCCUCUAUCAUAUGCUUCCAGAGCACCGUGGGCAGCAGGAGAGCACGGGCCUGAGGGGAGGGUCAGCGGGAUGGAGCUUGGUGUCUCUGCAGAGCAGCUCCUCUCCCUGGGGCCAAGAGCCCUGGCCUGUCCCCAGGCAACAGCGGCAACAGGAAAGAGAGGUGCAGGACGCCUUCUCAGCCCCAGCCCCAUGUACCUGGCCUCACCAUAGCGGGCAGCAUAGUCGGGCCAGGGCACAAAGAGGAUGCACUCGUACAGCUGGCAGAGCC